GACGUAGGGGGCGAGCGUUGUCCGGAAUUAUUGGGCGUAAAGGGCGUGUAGGCGGCCUGUCAAGUCAGCUGUGAAAUUCCCCGGCUCAACUGGGGGUGUGCAGUUGAAACUGGUGAGCUUGAGUGCAGGAGAGGAGGGUGGAAUUCCUGGUGUAGCGGUGAAAUGCGUAGAUAUCAGGAGGAACACCGGUGGCGAAGGCGACCUUCUGGCCUGUUACUGACGCUGAGGCGCGAAAGCCAGGGGAGCGAACAGGAUUAGAUACC
rnacentral:rRNA from 1 species